GCAACCCAUGAUGACUUUUUAUUGGAACCUAGAUAUUUUUGUGUUAUGAGAUUGAAUCAAAAUUUAAACUUCUGUUUUAACUUUCUGUGAACUGCUUUGGCAUGGGAAGGGGAGGUGGGACUUCAUGACCCUCCUCCACCAGCUCUAAUCUCUGGCUUUGAGAUUCCCCCCUCUGCAAUGCUCCCUACAGCACAGUGCAGGAAACUAUCUCUAGGUUCGUGGCCAUUCUGAGUUAAUUUUUGUAUAAGGUGUUAGAUGUAGGUUAAGUUUUAUUUUGUGCCUAUUGCUCUAGCAUUUGUUGAAAAGGCUGUCUUUCCUCCAUUGAAUUGUUUUGGUAUCUUUGUCAAAAAAAAAAAAAAAAGAGUUGGGCACAACUCUCAGUAAACUGAGGCUAUCAUAGGGCUCAUCUCAUUUAUUUCCCUUUUUUCAUUUUACGAAGUUCUGUACUACUUGCUUUUCAAUAUCCAUAAACAUUUUUUAUAAUUUUGUCUGGUUUUUUAGUUGUUUAUAAUGGGAAGGUGAUUUCUGUCGGUGGAAGUAGAAGUCUUCCCGAACCAGUUUUUCAGCUGGAAACAACUGAUGUAAGAGGCUAGGCCCCUAGAACAGCAUGACCCUCUUGCAGGUCCAGCAUAAUAUGUCCUGGACCAUAUGGACAUUCCACAGAUCAUCACAUUACUUCAUUCAAGGUAAUAAUUCCCCUGGUCCUAUAAGGACUCACGACCAUUCGCUUAAUACAUGCUGGAGAAAGAGGCACAACCAUUUGAGAAACUGUUGUAUACAGGGUCUUAUCUGAUCCUGAUGUCCAUGGAUCUGAAGCAUCAUCAUGGCCUCCUGGUAGAGUGGCAGUGUAUGGGGAUGGGGUGACAAAUGUAUUCCAGACCCAGGUCUAGCUCUCAGUGGUCCUACUGGGUUCGUAGAUCCACCCAGCGGUCAUUUCACUGGUCCUUAAUGGGUAACUGAGAUGGAUAUAUUUGAUAGUUGGCAGAACUACACUAACCAUGAUAGGGUUAGAAAGGCCAGCACGAAGCUCCUGAAGUUGCUGCUACCAUCUCAGGCCAAGAUAAUAAAAACUACCAUAGUAGUGGCCCUCUUGCAGAUCUAAAGGAUGCAGGGAUGGUGGGCCCAUUAAAACACUAUUUAAUUCACUAGUCUGGUCCCUGGUAAAAUCAGAAAGUUCUUGGAAGAUCUCAAUCAUUUCAAUUGUAUCUGCUGUGCUAAAUGCUAAAUGUGGUGUCUUUGCUAGAGAUUAACACAGCCGCAGGUACAUGAUAGGUGGCCAUUAAUCUGAGCAAUAUAUUCUUUUCCAUCUCUGUAAGAAAGGACCAUAAAAAGUACUUUCACUACUGGGAUGAGCAGGAAUAGUCUUGCACCUGGACCAUGUAAAACCUCCCACCCUGUCAUAAUAUGUCCUGGACCAUAUGGACAUUCCACAGAUCAUCACGUUACUUCAUUGAUGACAUCAUGGUAAUUGUACAGGAUGAGCAAGAAAUGGCAAGUGCACUAGAAGCCUUGAUAGGAUAAACAUCCUUCAAGUAGUGGUACAUAAAACUGCAAAUACCCAGUAAUGUUUUUAGAGGUCCAGUGGUCUGGACCAUGCCAGGAUGUUCCCUCCAAAGUAAAGGAGAAAUUUUACUUCUCACAUCUCACUCCCAAGAAGGGAACACAGUGCCUGACAAACCUCACUGGGGUCUACAGACAGCAUAUUCCACACUUGGAAAUACUGUUCUGACACAUGUAUCAAUUCUGAUAAUGGACAGAUGCAGUCAUGGCCUGCAAGGGCAUAAUGACCAGGUACCUUAUCAGGUAACCUAUUUGGACCAGAAGUACAAGUUGAGGGGGUGUGGGUAGGAAUCUAGAUGGGGAGUAGAGAAGGGAGAUGAGUACCAGUGCAGACAGGGUAAGUUACAGCAGCAGGGGCUACGGCCUGUCUCAGACCUUCCUCUGUUAACCAGUUUUCCCAGGAAAAGAGGCCCAUCAAAUCCUGAAGGGAUCACUCUAGAACUCAAGAAACAAUGGAUCCGAACAGCACGAAAGGUGGACUAUAGUGAAGACCUAGUGUGCUGCCCAGAUUCCCCGCUUCAGGACUGAAGCACUCAUUUCCCAAGCUGCUGAGAAUGCGGACGGUGCUCUUCUGAGUCCCCUUGGGAGCUGCCUUUUUCGGAAGUCAGACACCUCAGCCAAGGACAUGGCCCCUUUUUAGCCAAUGUGGGGGUACGUAUGUGGCCACUUGCCUCAAUAGAGUACACAUUUCCACACAGCCAUCCUAGCUUGAGUGAGAGGGACUGACGGAGGUCUUUGUUGAGACCAGCUUAACCUCCUCCUCUACCGAAUCCUGCUUCCUGUACUCCCCCGAAGGUGUCAACCCAGUCUAAGAUCGCUUCAUCAUAAACUUCCUGCACACAAAUUUCCAAUUCAGUCUGUUUCGCCAGGAACUUACACUAUGACAAAUAUUUAAACACUUUGGAGACGAGCUGUGUGGAAUGUUGUGGUUGUUGCUCAGGCAAUUUCAGAGAUGUUCUGAUGGGGACAUGGUGGUGUGGAAAGAUGUGUUAAAUGAGCUUUUCACCAGUUACAGUAGGGAUGAAGAUCACUGAAAUGGCAGAUUUCAAACAUCAGUCGUAAGUUUCAACACCUUGAGUUAUGGAGUCUGCUGGCUAGUGUGUGGCUGGCUAGUUUUCAGCGCAACUGAUGAUAGACUUCUAUCAGUUGGGAUGGCCUCAUGUGAAUCAAAGUGCUUAACGGACUCAUAGUGGUAGGUGAGCUCAAACAUUAGGUUAGAAACUAGUCUCUCUGAGCUUCUGAUAAAGACAGCAAAGAGUCAUAAAUUGUGUGACCUCACAUUGUAUUGGAGUGACUAGCACAAUCCAUUUGUCAGCAGUUGGAUUUUUCUACUCGUAGACCUUGAACUUAGGCAGAAUUAUCUACUUCCCUUAUCUCCUAUCAAGAUACCUGUUCCAUAAUUACCCAAUGACUAGCCCUAUAUCUUAACCUUGCUCUGGAAACCAAGAUGCCAUCUUUUUCAAAAUUUCAGGGUUACAGAAACAAACACCAAACCCCAGUAGCUCAAGAGUACAACCUACUUGGAAGUUCUGCCCCCAGUCUACUCAUGCCCAGUAAACAGCAUCUAAGAACACAA